rnacentral:rRNA from 1 species
UACGUAGGGUGCGAGCGUUGUCCGGAAUUAUUGGGCGUAAAGGGCUCGUAGGCGGUCUGUUGCGUCAGGAGUGAAAACUCGGGGCUUAACCCCGAGCCUGCUUCUGAUACGGGCAGACUAGAGGUAUGCAGGGGAGAACGGAAUUCCUGGUGUAGCGGUGAAAUGCGCAGAUAUAGGAAAGAACACCAACGGCGAAAGCACUCUGCUGGGCCGACACUGACACUGAGACGCGAAAGCGUGGGGAGCAAACAGG